UACAGAGGUCCCAAGCGUUGUUCGGAUUCACUGGGCGUAAAGGGUGCGUAGGCGGUCGGAUAAGUCUGACGUGAAAUCUCCGGGCCUAACCCGGAAACUGCGUUGGAAACUAUCUGGCUAGAGGAAUGGAGGGGAGACUGGAAUACUUGGUGUAGCAGUGAAAUGCGUAGAUAUCAAGUGGAACACCAGUGGCGAAGGCGGCUCACUGGCCCGAUACUGACGCUGAGGCACGAAAGCGUGGGGAGCAAACAGG
rnacentral:rRNA from 1 species